CGAACGAGUUCUCGUUGAUGAUCGGUGCUUGCACCGAGAUUCAACAUGGAACGAGUGGCGGACGGGUGAGUAACACGUGGGUAACCUGCCCUUAAGUGGGGGAUAACAUUUGGAAACAGAUGCUAAUACCGCAUAGAUCCAAGAACCGCAUGGUUCUUGGCUGAAAGAUGGCGUAAGCUAUCGCUUUUGGAUGGACCCGCGGCGUAUUAGCUAGUUGGUGAGGUAAUGGCUCACCAAGGCGAUGAUACGUAGCCGAACUGAGAGGUUGAUCGGCCACAUUGGGACUGAGACACGGCCCAAACUCCUACGGGAGGCAGCAGUAGGGAAUCUUCCACAAUGGACGCAAGUCUGAUGUCGGCGUGACGGUAUCCAACCAGAAAGCCACGGCUAACUACGUGCCAGCAGCCGCGGUAAUACGUAGGUGGCAAGCGUUAUCCGGAUUUAUUGGGCGUAAAGCGAGCGCAGGCGGUUUUUUAAGUCUGAUGUGAAAGCCCUCGGCUUAACCGAGGAAGCGCAUCGGAAACUGGGAAACUUGAGUGCAGAAGAGGACAGUGGAACUCCAUGUGUAGCGGUGAAAUGCGUAGAUAUAUGGAAGAACACCAGUGGCGAAGGCGGCUGUCUGGUCUGUAACUGACGCUGAGGCUCGAAAGCAUGGGUAGCGAACAGGAUUAGAUACCCUGGUAGUCCAUGCCGUAAACGAUGAAUGCUAGGUGUUGGAGGGUUUCCGCCCUUCAGUGCCGCAGCUAACGCAUUAAGCAUUCCGCCUGGGGAGUACGACCGCAAGGUUGAAACUCAAAGGAAUUGACGGGGGCCCGCACAAGCGGUGGAGCAUGUGGUUUAAUUCGAAGCAACGCGAAGAACCUUACCAGGUCUUGACAUCUUUUGAUCACCUGAGAGAUCAGGUUUCCCCUUCGGGGGCAAAAUGACAGGUGGUGCAUGGUUGUCGUCAGCUCGUGUCGUGAGAUGUUGGGUUAAGUCCCGCAACGAGCGCAACCCUUAUGACUAGUUGCCAGCAUUUAGUUGGGCACUCUAGUAAGACUGCCGGUGACAAACCGGAGGAAGGUGGGGAUGACGUCAAAUCAUCAUGCCCCUUAUGACCUGGGCUACACACGUGCUACAAUGGAUGGUACAACGAGUUGCGAGACCGCGAGGUCAAGCUAAUCUCUUAAAGCCAUUCUCAGUUCGGACUGUAGGCUGCAACUCGCCUACACGAAGUCGGAAUCGCUAGUAAUCGCGGAUCAGCACGCCGCGGUGAAUACGUUCCCGGGCCUUGUACACACCGCCCGUCACACCAUGAGAGUUUGUAACACCCGAAGCCGGUGGCGUAACCCUUUUAGGGAGCGAGCCGUCUAAGGUGGGACAAAUGAUUAGGGUGAAGUCGUAACAAGGUAGCCGUAGGAGAACCUGCGGCUG
rnacentral:rRNA from 1 species